rnacentral:misc_RNA from 1 species
UCCGGCUUGCCGCCGGCAGUCCCUCCAGAGUGCCCAACUGAAUGAUGGCAACUGAAGGCAGGGGUUGCGCUCGUUAGAGGACUUAACCCAACAUCUCACGACACGAGCUGACGACAGCCAUGCAGCACCUGUGUUCCGAUUCCCUUUCGGGCACACCCACCUCUCAGCGGGCUUCCGGACAUGUCAAGGGUAGGUAAGGUUGUUCGCGUUGCAUCGAAUUAAUCCACAUCAUCCACCGCUUGUGCGGGUCCCCGUCAAUUCCUUUGAGUUUUAACCUUGCGGCCGUACUCCCCAGGCGGGGUACUUACUCCGUUAGGUGCGGCACCGGCGGUAACCCGCCGACACUUAGUACCCAUCGUUUAGGGCGUGGACUAC